rnacentral:tRNA from 1 species
GGGCCUGUAGCUCAGCUGGUUAGAGCGCACCCCUGAUAAGGGUGAGGUCGGUGGUUCAAGUCCACCCAGGCCCA